rnacentral:rRNA from 1 species
ACGUAGGGUGCGAGCGUUAAUCGGAAUUACUGGGCGUAAAGCGUGCGCAGGCGGUUGUGCAAGACAGAUGUGAAAUCCCCGGGCUCAACCGGGGGAGUGCGUUUGAGACUGCUCGACUGGAGUCAGUGAGAGGGGUAUGGAAUUCCGCGUGUAGCAGUGGAAUGCGUAGGUAUGCGGAGGAACACCGAUGGCGAAGGC